UGGUCGGACUUGCGGAUCCGUAGAUCUCGCUGUGACAGUCGCUUUCUGGCUGCGGCUUCUGUGGCACAGCGCGGAGUGCCCUCUGAUCUCUCGGCCUCAGAUCACCUCGUUCCCCAAACGACACGCGUCGAAAAAACACUCAUAUUUAUUGGACUUUCGCGUUAAGCCACCUUAAAUAUAUGAUCAGCAUUUAGCAAAAUAAUGGCUCUUUAACAAGAAAACGCUUUAUAAGUGUCAAUUAAUUGAACAUUUCGCAGGUGCUAAAACUACUUAAGCCAAACGUGCAGAUCCCUCGAAAAUCUAUUAAAAACUAAACGAUGCGUUUCAAUUUCUCCACCCACUCGGCGGCGCCCAACUCAACGGCAACGACAACAACCACAACGCAGGCAGCAAAUGGAGGGGAUAAGGCUACCCAACCGCUGAAGAAGGCCAUCGAUGCGGAUCCCGAUUCGCUGGACAGUGUGAUCAGCAAUCCGCAUUCGUAUCCCAUCACAAUAGUGCCCAAUCGGCCGACCAGCUUCUAUGGCCUAUCCCCAAAUGGCAAGGCGUUCCCCCGCCAACCGAGCUGCAGAUCUCGCAAUUUCCGGCCUGGCAGCAUGAGAAGAAUUCGCCGUCGGGCUGUGUUCAAAAAUGGUGACUGCAAUGUGGUCCAGAAGCACCUCCAGAGACGUCGUGUUCGCUUUCUGCAGGACAUGUACACCACGAUGGUGGAUUGGCAGUGGCGAUGGACUCUGUUGGCCUUCGCCCUCAGCUUCAUACUGUCUUGGCUCUUCUUUGCGCUCAUCUGGUGGCUGAUCGUCUACACACACGGAGACUUAGAGGGACCUCAUCUACCCGAAAAUCAAGAGGAAUCGAACUGGGCGCCUUGUGUCUCUGCCAUUGAUGGAUUUACCUCCUGUUUUCUGUUCUCCAUCGAAACACAGCACACGAUUGGCUACGGAGUGCGCACCACCUCACCGGAGUGUCCAGAGGCUAUCUUUAUGAUGUGCUUCCAGUCCAUCUACGGCGUGAUGUCCUCAGCAUUUAUGGCUGGAAUUGUGUUCGCCAAAAUGACGAGGGCCAAGCAGCGGGCACAGACUUUGUUAUUCUCCAAGCAUGCGGUUAUUUGCCAGCGAGAUGGUUGCCUUUCCCUAAUGUUCCGUGUGGGCGACAUGCGAAAGUCUCACAUCAUUGGAGCCGGAGUUAGGGCUCAGUUAAUACGGACAAAGAGCACCAAAGAGGGUGAGGUGAUGACGCAGUACUUCACGGAACUGGAGAUUGGCACCGAUGACUCUGGCUCUGAUUUGUUCUUCAUCUGGCCCAUGGUCAUUGAGCACAAGAUCGAUGAGAACUCACCGCUGUAUAAUCUGAAUGCCACUGAUAUGCUGCAGGAUAAAUUCGAAAUUGUUGUACUCCUGGAGGGCACUGUGGAGUCCACUGGUCAGAGUACACAAGCCAGAUCUAGUUAUAUUAACACUGAGAUUCUUUGGGGCCAUCGCUUCGACCCUGUGGUGCUGUACAACAAGGACCUGCAGGCCUAUGAGAUCGACUAUGCCCGCUUCAACGAAACCACUCAGGUGGACACUCCAUUGUGCAGUGCCCGGGAGCUAAACGAGAUCUACAAGAUCCAGGAGGGAUUCCGGACACCAGCAGAAACCACCUUCACCAUGCGUCAACUGUCCCACAAUCAUUCCGAUCAGGCCUCCUAGGCCCAGAUUCCAGUGUUUCGUCCCCGUGUUGCUAUAGUUUGUAAUUGUUUUUGUCCUAUCUUCCCCCUCGAUCCAAUCGAGGUGCUCCUGCAGUUCCGGCUAUCAGACACCUGGAAGGCAAAGCCGCCUGCGCUGGCAGCUCUCGGUGCCCUUGUAGUGCUCCCCAGACUAUCCCCACACAUACACUCAAAAGUACGAGUUACCCUACGAAAAUAAGUUAAUAAACGCUUUAGUUUGAGUCUA